rnacentral:rRNA from 1 species
GAUGAACGCUAGCGGCAGGCCUAAUACAUGCAAGUCGAACGAUAUGAAGUAGCAAUACUUCAAAAAGUGGCGCACGGGUGCGUAACACGUAUGCAACCUACCUAUCACAGGGGGAUAGCCCGAAGAAAUUCGGAUUAAUACCCCAUAAAACAGAUUCUUCGCAUGGAGAGAUUGUUAAAGCUGAGGCGGUGAUAGAUGGGCAUGCGACUGAUUAGUUAGUUGGCGGGGUAACGGCCCACCAAGACGAUGAUCAGUAGGGGGUCUGAGAGGAUGAUCCACCACACUGGUACUGAGAUACGGACCAGACUCCUACGGGAGGCAGCAGUAGGGAAUAUUGGUCAAUGGGCGAGAGCCUGAACCAGCCAUGCCGCGUGCAGGAAGAAGGCCUUCUGGGUUGUAAACUGCUUUUAUCAGGGAAGAAAACGCUCUUGCGAGAGUAACUGACGGUACCUGAGGAAUAAGCACCGGCUAACUCCGUGCCAGCCGCCGCAGUAACAC